GAUGAAGAACGUAGCAAAAUGCGAUAAGUAAUGUGAAUUGCAGAAUUCAGUGAAUCAUCGAAUCUUUGAACGCACAUUGCGCCCGCCAGUAUUCUGGCGGGCAUGCCUGUUCGAGCGUCAUUUCAACCCUCAAGCGCAGCUUGGUGUUGGGACUCGCGGUAACCCGCGUUCCCCAAAUCGAUUGGCGGUCACGUCGAGCUUCCAUAGCGUAGUAAUCAUACACCUCGUUACUGGUAAUCGUCGCGGCCACGCCGUAAAACCCCAACUUCUGAAUGUUGACCUCGGAUCAGGUAGGAAUACCCGCUGAACUUAAGCAUAUCAAUAAGCGGAGGA
rnacentral:misc_RNA from 1 species